rnacentral:lncRNA from 1 species
CUCUCCGAGAUCUCUGGCAAUCCCUAGUCUCACGGGGCGGGCAACGGCAGCUGGGGGUCGCCCCGCCCUCUGGGCUUCUCUCCGGGCCUCUCUCGGGAGCCCUGAAUGCUGGGCGUGGCCCCUCUGCUAAUGGCAGACAGAGAGUUUUGUCUGCUGCCUGGCGGAACUCCGGCACUUCCCCUCCGGGUCGCAGAACCGGCCUUUGAAAGUUCCCCCCGCCCCGGUCCUCUCCGAGAUCUCUGGCAAUCCCUAGCCCCACGGGGCGGGCAACGGCAGCUGGGGGUCGCCCCGCCCUCUGGGAUUCUCUCUGGGCCUCUCCCGGAGCCAUGAAUCCUCAGCGUGGCCCCUCUGCUAACGGCAGACAGAGAGUUUUGUCUGCUGCCCGGGCGGAGCUCCGGCGCUUCCCCUCCGGGUCACCGGCAACGGCAGCUGGGAGACCUCCGUACCCUCCGUGACUCUCUCUGGGACCCAAUGGCGGGGAGAGACUCUCCCCGCGGGCUCAGGUGUGCAACUCCAAAGUUUCCCUCUGCGUUUAGGAGUAAUUGCGGGGGGUUUAGGUAGGGUUCUGGUCACCUGUUUCCACUGUCGCUCCUCUGUUGUGUUCUCGCUCCUGCCCUAGAUGUGUGUGGAUCCUCUGGGGGCGUCCGUUGGAAGAAAGCCGCUUGCGGGUACUAGGCUGCCCAUCGGGGUCAGAGAGUUUUCACCUAUUUCCACAUCCUCCCGGAGGAAAGUCCGUCCGCCUUCUGAUGUAUAGUCACGUGGGUGUCUCAGACGUCCUGAGAUGCUGUCUGGAUAUCCUUUGUCAAGCGAUAAGUGUCCAAAUAAUUGUAGACUCGAAGGGCGAGAGACAAAGAGGACUACUCACGGCGCCAUCUUGGAUCUUCUCCGGUGGGCCAUUUGAAGAAGGAGCACAGAUCCUGAUUGCUGUUUGAAAACCAUCCAUUGAUACCUUCUGAUGGGAUCAAGAAAAGGUAUCAAAACUUACAGAGUGAGGGGCAGCAGCUUGGAAGAAAAUCUCAGAGAAAGAUGAUGAUGGUCUUUUAAGAAAUGCGGCGUCACCAACACCCUCGAUGGUAUGAAGGUCGCUAUUGUGUGGAAACUCACAGAUAUCCUGAAAGUGAAAACUUAAUCAACUUAUUUCCCUCAUCUUUUUCUUUUUGUGUGUGUACAAGAGAGAGAGAUGAUGGUAAUCUGUUUAAAGAAGUCUAAAAGAGCUUUUUCAAUAACCACAAAAUUAAAAUUCUAAGCGAUAAGAAAAACUAAUCGGCAGUGUAUUUUCUUUCUUUUUUCAGUCUUACAAUUGAUUGCAUCUUAGAUAUAAUGAGAUAUGGC